CGGGUGAGUAAUACAUAAGUAACCUGCCCUAGACAGGGGGAGUAACUAUUGGAAACGAUAGCUAAGACCGCAUAGGUACGGACACUGCAUGGUGACCGUAUUAAAAGUGCCUCAAAGCACUGGUAGAGGAUGGACUUAUGGCGCAUUAGCUGGUUGGCGGGGUAACGGCCCACCAAGGCGACGAUGCGUAGCCGACCUGAGAGGGUAACCGGCCACACUGGGACUGAGACACGGCCCAG
rnacentral:rRNA from 1 species